AAAUAAAAGAAAUGAUGACCAGCACCUUUCCUUUACAGAGGAAACAAAUAGUGGAGGAUGAGCCACCUGUGGCCGACGUGAGAGCAAGAUGGCCAGCACUGUUCUCUGAACGUCAGGUAAAAGUAUUUUUUCUAUUUCAGAUGAGGUUAGGUCGGAGGAUCAGAUUUUAAACUGAUUUGCUAGAUAAUUUAUUUAAGAAUAGUUAGAGUCAUAAUAAUAAUUUGGUACACUGAAUAAAAAGAAUACAUUUAUUAAAAAAAAAUGUGUGUCAUGCAACAACAGUGAUAUAAUUGAAUUACCAUUCUAUAAUGAAGUUAUUUAUUUCAUUCUAGUCCAUAUCCAUUUUUUCAGAACAUAUUGAUUAUUUUUUUAACUCAAACAAGUAUGCAGACAUUAGUAGAAUAUAACAUCACUUGGAAUUGUUUUCUGAUUUCUGGCCUAAUAUAUCCCAUUUGUUGGUUAUUGUCUUACUGAGUUCCAAUCAAAGGCAAAGGGCAGUUGUUUUGAUGGGGCUCCCCUACUAUCUAAAAGAUGUGGCCAAACUUUACAAGAAAGUACAGGUCACAGAUGCAGAGGAGGACUGGACAAAGGGGAUGGCAGUCGACCUCUCCACCCUGAUCAGCUCCUACCCCAACCCUCCCCCAGCUUCCUCCCUGACUGACCUGGUGACUCUCUACAAUAACUGCCUCUCCUCUUCCCUCACCACCCUGGCCCCCCUGAAAACCCGCUCAGUCUCAUUUGGCCACACUGCUCCCUGGUUCACUCCUCAUCUGCGCCAGCUCAAAGCCACUGGUCGUCGACUGGAGCGACUCUACAAUAAGACUCAACUGAACAUUGUUCACCGCCAAAUGUAUUCGGACCACCUCCAUCACUACAAGAAUGCCCUCACCACUGCCAAAACUCAUACUACUCCAACCUCAUCAACACUGGUACAGGCAACAGCAGAGUCCUCUUCUCAACAGUCAGCCACUUACUUCAGCCUCCUAAAACCCUCCCUCCAGACAUUUCCAC
ensembl:lncRNA